rnacentral:tRNA from 1 species
CGCCGUCAUGGUCCGGCUAGUCCGGACCAUCCAUCUAGGGCGUCGAGCCCGACGCCGACUGUGGGUCCUCCGGUCAAGCCGGAGGACGACGG